CAGGACGAACGCUGGCGGCGUGCCUAAUACAUGCAAGUCGAACGGUCUUUCUAUGGAAGCUUGCUUCCACUGAGAAGAUAGUGGCGAACGGGUGAGUAACACGUGGGUAACCUGCCCAUAAGAGGGGGAUAACAUCCGGAAACGGGUGCUAAUACCGCAUAGUUUUUCUUGAUCGCAUGAUUGAGAAAGGAAAGACGGCCUUUGUGCUGUCGCUUAUGGAUGGACCCGCGGCGUAUUAGUUAGUUGGUGAGGUAACGGCUCACCAAGACGAUGAUACGUAGCCGACCUGAGAGGGUGAUCGGCCACAUUGGGACUGAGACACGGCCCAAACUCCUACGGGAGGCAGCAGGUAGGGAAUCUUCCGCAAUGGACGAAAGUCUGACGGAGCAACGCCGCGUGAGUGAAGGUAAAGGGUUUUCGGAUACGUAAAACUCUGUUGUCAGAGAAGAACAAGUUGGAGAGUAACUGCUCCAGCCUUGACGGUAUCUGACCAGAAAGCCACGGCUAACUACGUGCCAGCCGCAGC
rnacentral:rRNA from 1 species